rnacentral:rRNA from 1 species
UACAGAGGGGGCAAGCGUUGUUCGGAAUUACUGGGCGUAAAGGGCGCGUAGGCGGCCUGUUAAGUCGAACGUGAAAUCCCCGGGCUCAACCCGGGAACUGCGUCCGAUACUGGCAGGCUUGAAUUCGGGAGAGGGAUGUGGAAUUCCAGGUGUAGCGGUGAAAUGCGCAGAUAUCGGGAGGAACACCUAUGGCGAAGGCAGCUCGCUGGGACGUUACUGACGCUGAGACGCGAAAGCGUGGGGAGCAAACAGG